GUCUCCGUAGGUGAACCUGCGGAGGGAUCAUUACAGAGUUCAUGCCCUACCGGGUAGAUCUCCCACCCUAUGUUAGUAUUACUUUGUUGCUUUGGCGGGCCGUUAGGCUCCGGCCCGACUACCGGCCCCGGCUGGUAAGCGCCCGCCAGAGGACCCAAAACCCUGAAUAUUAGUGUCGUCUGAGUACUAUAUAAUAGUUAAAACUUUCAACAACGGAUCUCUUGGUUCUG
rnacentral:misc_RNA from 1 species